UGAUCCUGCCAGUAGUCAUAUGCUUGCUUCAAGGACUCAGCCAUGCAAGUGUCGAGUAAAUGUUCUAACUGUUGAUCUGCAUACGGCUCAUUAUAACAGUUGUAAUAUACCUGCAUUUGUGGCUGUAACAAGCGAUCAAGUGGACAACUUCCUGGUAAAUCUGAAGCUAAUACACCAGCUUGCUGCAGGAGAAGGUCUCUGAUCUGAUCCUGACUGUUGGAAGCUUAUGGGUUCAAGAGAAACUGGUCAAUAAGAUUGAAUCUCUUCUGGUAUGAGCCCAUUCUGUACAAGGAUUUACUUCGUAGAACUGUGUGCGGUUGAGCGACUGACCUAUCAGCUUGUUUGCAAUGUAUUGGAUUGCAAAGGCUUUGACGGGUAACGGAGAAUUAGAGUUCGAUUCGUGGAGAGGGAGCCUGAGAGACGGCUGCCGUGUCCAAGGACAACAGCAGGCGCGCAAAUUGCCCAAUCUGGCAUGAGUGAGGCAGCAACGAGAAGUACUUACUUUG
rnacentral:rRNA from 1 species